UUCCCAGGAUUGACAGGUUUGUCUUCUUAAGCAGUCCUAUAAUGGAUAGGGCUUCUUCACCAUAGCUCCUUGGUUCAUUCUCAUAGGGGUGCUGUGCUGGGUGCAAGGAGGCGAUGAAAGAAUGAAUCAGGAGCCUGUCGAUGGUGUAACUGCAGAUACCUACGUGGAGCCACCUUCGGAAGGAAGUGAGAGUUGAGCUCCAUCCCCCGAGGAG